rnacentral:rRNA from 1 species
AUGGUGAAAUGGUCGUGGAAGCUCGAAACACAAAGUGGGGUAUGGCAAGAUAUUAUUCGUGCUCGCUACUUGCGGAAUAGGACAGUAGCGGAUGUUGCCCCAAGGUUUUCUGACUCUCCGAGCUGGAAAGCCCUACUGAAAGUCAAGGAAAUUUAUAUGGCUGGUAGAAAAGUUAUUGUUGAAUCACAGAACAUUGCUAGGGUGUGGAGCGAUCCUAUUAACGGACUGCUUACGUUCAAGGAUCAAUAUCUGCAGCUCUUUAAUGUUUGUAAUGUCCCUAAGUGCACCAUUAAACAAGUGCUAAGUGUGGAGACCGACUCCUUUUUCAGGCGCAGGCUUAAUCCUGCUCUUGCUGAACAA